AUUCUGCAGUAAUUUCAUUGCCCUGGAAGAAAUGUUGAAACGAUUGCGCUCCCCUGAGCACACGGACCACACAAGCGUCGCUGGAGGAUAUUACUGACCGCUGCCCUUAAUUUUUAUUGUUUGAGUUAUGUCUGCCAAUUGCAUCUCCCUCUUAUUAACUUAUUUGUUUUCCGCCUUUUUUUUUUUCUCCCCGCGAGCCGAGGUGACCGCUUCUUUCCAUAAUCGCCUUUUGCGAAAGAGCUGGCUCCGAUCGUCGGCUCUGGGAAGGCAGAAGGACCGCACUGUGCUUAAAACCCGUAUUUUUUUCCCUCGCAAUAAACACGAGGAACGGCUGCAACCGGAUCGGCCUCGGCCUCCUCGCCGAUCACCCCUCAAUCCCUCCCGCGCGUUCCCGCAGCGGAAGGACGCGGGCGGCUCCGCGUGUGAGCGCGCAGCUCGGCUCAGCUGCGCCUGGCGAGCGCUGGAAGCCGCCUAUGCCGGCCCUUGUCCAGGAGAUGGCAGGAUUGCCUCAGCCAUGCCGGGCCCGGGCCGGCCCUGCAACGCAGCGCCGCGCAACCGCGCAUCCGCAGCCCGCUCGGCCGAGGUCCGCGUUAUCCUCCGCGAGGAUGCCCGCGUGUCCGGCGGGCCGUACGGCUUUGCUCGGAGCUCCUCCGGCCGCGGGCAGAGUGCGGUGGGCGGCGGGGCCGGGCCGAGCGUGGGACGGAGGCCGGCACCGGGCUCCCGGUGGCGUCGGGCCGGGAGCACACCGGGCCCGCACCGGCUCCGGUACCGGCAGCGAGAGCUCGGCGUUCGGCUCUGCCCCACCCGCAGCAAUGCCCCGCAUCCCGGCGGCUGUUUUCGUAACGCUUCCGCACGUCGUUAGAAAAGGAGAAGGCGGCUCCUUUGCAGCUGGUCCCGAUUUGCCGGCCUGCCCGGGCUUCCUCCUGCCCCGCGAAGGGAGUUUCAGCCUUGGCCUCCGAAAUACCGGCGCCGCGAAGCCCGACGCCGAGGCCGCAAGAAGGCGCAGCCCGGAGGGCCAGAGCGGUGCGGAGCUCCCGGAGCGUCACUGAGGCCGAAGGGAUGCAGCGGGGGAGGCGCCAGGAGCCCGAAAAAGAAGAAUCUGGAGAAUUUUUCUCAUGCAAAGAAAACAAGGCUGCAGCAUCAGAGAGAGCUCCUCCAGGCACCAUGUGCCCCCAACCCCCCACUUUUUUGUUUUUUUUUCUUUUUUCUUUCCCCAGAACCGAACGAAAGGCACCGCUAGCUACAAAACCUCAGGCGUUCCGAAUUGGUUUUUUGGGGGGUCCGGUUCAGGGGAAAAAAAAAAAAAAAGCUCUCUAAAAGUCCGUGAGUGUGCGAGAGGAAGAGAAAGGGGAAGGAAGAGGGCGGAGGAGGCGGGCGAUGGCUCCCCGGUGGCUGCCGCCGGGCGCGGAGCCCAUGGGGGCCCCGUCCGGGCCGGCGGUGGGGGGCAGCGGGGCUCCACCGGAGCCGGAGCGGCCUCGGUAAGGCGAACAAAGGCGCCGGGGCCGGAGCAGGGCAGGCAGAGCCGCCAGCCGGGGCGCGGGAGAGAGGCCGCUCUCCCCAGCAGCAUUUCUUCUCCGCAAAAACCUUCCCCGGCGAAAAGGGCCUCUCGGGUCCGGCUUUCCCUCGUCCUCCACGUCCCCCACUGUUCUGUCUCUCCUCGCGGAAGAACCGCGGCCCCGAGCGCGUCCCGUACGGCGCUGCGGCCCCCGAAACGCCCUGCUCUGGGAAGAAGGCCAAUUUCCUCCUCUUUUCGGAUACAUCGAAAAGAAAUCGUUUUAUUAAAGAUGGGUCAGAAACAGUUUGGCAACGUCGUAAACGGCUGGGAAGCUCAGCCCGUGCUUCCAGCACGACGUGAAAGCAGACUUUGAGACGAGAAGGGAAAUAAAAAUGGUUUAUGGAGAGAUAGUCUGACCGUACGUCUUACCACGUACACGGGAAAUCAAAGCGUUUAGAGCAAUAGGAUAUUAUAAUAAAUAAUACUAGAUCGAAACACACACCAUUUAAUAAUUACACGAGGCACAUGAACAGGGAGGACAUCGCUUCUCUUUCCCAGGAGCUGACCUCCCUGCGUAUAGCAUAACAUGCACGCUAGGUUUAAAAUUACAAAAACCCAACCGAGUCCCAGCCUUUCGGCCUACAUAAAUUAUGGCAUCUUUUGAAACGAAUCAUUUAUUGCUUCUGUCAUUAACACCCGUUUAGUUUUGCAAACUGAAAGUUAGCGGUGAACUUCACUUCUCCGAUCGGGAAGUGCGUUAUGCGCAGCGCGGGGUCCGCACGGAGGUACGUGCGCACCUCGGGACGGGACGGGACGGGAUGGGACGGGGCGGCCGGAGGGGACCCCCGGGCGCUGCUGCGGGGAGCAUCGCUGCCCCUUCGGAUCCAACGAGAGGAGCCGAGGCCGCGCUCCGUACCCCAGGAAAAGCCGGUAGCAGAUUGCCCGCCAGCAAAAUCAAAUCAUAAAGAAUAAAAAGAGCGAUCCCACUGCAGUGCAAACAAUUCCCUUCCGGAGCCGCUGCUUCCGACAUCCGCGGAGCCCCGUGCGGACUCCGGCAAGGCGGCUUUUGCCGGCAGUGACUGCGGGAACGCCGCUCACUCGCGUUUUCCGACCAAUACACCAAAUCGAGUCCGACACUUUCGGGCACCGGCCGACGUUCGGAGAUAAAAACCCCGGGUCCCCUCCCCAAAGAGAUAAGCAUUUAAGAAAGUUAUAAAUGGAACCGUUCGACACGUUUAAAUUCGUUUAUACUGGCCUAGAGGGAAGGAUAGAAAAUAUAAUUAAUAUUAAUAUUAUUUUUUUUUAAAAAAGGAAGGAAGAAACAACGCUAAAGUCACGGCUUGUCGGCGCUCCCUUCCACCGAGAGAACAACGCCGGCUUUCACGGGAAUAGAAAACAAUUCACGAAACUUCGCCACCGCUGGAAGGAGAAGAGAAAAAAAAUAUUAAAUAUAUUUUCAAGUCUUUCCAAAAGUCCGCAGCUGGUCGUAAACGGAGGUUGUAUAUCCGCCACUGUCCGCAAGGAAUCGAUCAAGAAACGUUGUCUUUCAGUUUGGAGACUAUUUUCUUAUCCUUCACCCUCCUGUUCUGAAACCAAAUGGUGACCUGGCGUUCGGACAGGUUCGUGGCCGCGGAUAUCCUUCGCCUCUUGUCCUUGUUAAUGAACUUGUUAAUGGCGUAUUCGUUCUCGAGUUCCUUAAGCUGGAGCUUGGUGUAGGGCACUCUCUUCUUCCUCCCGCGCCGGUAGACGCACAUCUCGGGCUGGUUUAGUGCAACGUCCCCUAAGGAAAAGACACGACGUGAAAAAUUAGAAUUUUAUGACAGGCGUUUAAAGCGUAGCCGAUUCUUGUCGGGCGCUGCUUUUCACGGGCAAAUAAAUAACGGCGGCUUGUUUACAGUUUAUUAUUAUUUACACCGCCCCAUUAGCCGCGCGUCGGGCAGCCCCGCGCCUGACGGACUGUCAUCACUGUGAGCGGCGCGGCGGG
rnacentral:lncRNA from 1 species